AGCUGACCUCCUCCAGCACCACCCAGUGCUACAACUGAGGCCUGCAAAAAUGCACCAGUCCUCCAGCCAGGUUGAAGGUUUUAGUGCUGUCAAUCAAUCUCCUGUACUCGCUGCUCAAUGUGCUAAUGACAGAGAAACAACUUACCGUUAAACAAAACCCGUUUAUCCGUUGUCAUUGGUGGCUCUGCUAACUGGCCUUAGCAUUCGUGGCAGGCUAUGUUGUGGUGAACCAGCUGUAGCGUAGCUGAGCAUGAGAGUGAUUGACAGCGAUAAGACCCUCCUCCUGGCUCUGACUGGUCGUUUCUGAUGGUAUAAAUCAGAAGAGAUAACCUCUUUUAUAUGCUCUCAUGAAAUAACGAUAAUUUUAACAACCAAAAACAUAUAUAUGCAUUUAUAUUAUUUUCUCAUAAAAAUUACGUACCGCAAUUUUACAUCUAGUAAAGGAUUUGUUUCAUCCAGAAGAAGAUGGGAGAAAAACAAAUUCCUACCUUGAAGGACGAUCACCACUGGCUAAAGUUAACCUUGCCUUCCUCCAGUUUUUUUUCUUUUCCGCAUUUUAAAAACAGUUACUGUUUUCUACUGUAGGCAAGAUACUAACAACUCUCAAUUUUUUAAAAGAACCUUACUUGAAAAUCAGUUUUUGUUGUUUUUUUUCUUUGCCCCUUUAGGCAAAGACUUACAAGUAACACAACCUGAGAUAACCGCCUUUAUUUUGUCUUGAUACAGUGUGUGGACAGAGGAAGGGACGUGUGCUGUCAUCAAUGCCACGGUCACCGGGGGUCAUGACCUGUUCAUACAGUUACGGGUCAGACUGUGGGAGGGUGUCCAGGUUCCCCUGUCUGCAGGUGUAUGUGAGCGUCAACAACACGGGUCGAAUCGGCCGUCUGUCGCACAACGAAGAGAUGCAGGACGCCAGCUCUGAAGGAAGUCCAGCGCCAGAGAAAACACCGCGACUGGCUGUGAGUCGCUUCAAAUGUUGGCAGGAGGAGUCGACAUGCUGGCCACAGUGACAGACUCACUCCAACCACUGAGCAGAGAGGGUCUGUUGGUUCCAGGUGGCGCAACUAUGUAACUUUCUGAGUGUGUCUACAUCCCCCGGUGCCAGAAGGACAGCGCGGCCAACCGCGCCGUCAUCGUCAACAUCUCCCAACACCUGAAGACCAACCAGCACGCAUCCUGCUACUACGACCCCAGCGAAUAGCAGGACACGGUCCUGCUGACUCGGCUCUAUGACCACAGCUCUGUCUUUCACACCCUGUUGUGGCCCUCUUACACGCUCAGGUGGGGGCCCUCAUCGUCGUCAUGGUGAAUCUCACGCACUACGUCUCCAGACUUUGCGAGGAGGUAGGGAAGCUCAAGAGGUGAAUGACGUGCGGCGGCUCUCAAGGUCACGAAUGUUGGGUGAUCGACAUGUAAAGAGGAUUUUAUUUUAUUUUUAAUCUGCAGCAAACUUUGCCGUGACCUUUGGCAGACUUUCCUCCCUGGCUGAGACUCUGAAAACUUCCACGACGCUGCAGCGAGGAUGUAGCUUGUUUAGAGAAGCGGACUGGAUGUUCCUGGCCGGAAGCUGACAGACAUGGAACUGGCUGUUCCUGACAAAACAGAGAUCUUUCUUUUGCCUGGUUUUAAAGCUUUGCAAAGCAUCUGCGAGGACGUGUUUAAUCCAAGCACUGCGUGAGACUUCAGAAAGAAAGAAAAAAAAAGUCCUGGAGUGACCAGAGUUUUCUCCAGCUGCACUGAGCGUAGGAUAACAAUGUGCUGCCGCUCCCCCCACCUGUUUCUCUGCUCUGCCACUCACGCUUUGGAAGCUACAGGAGUCCCACCCAUCACUCAUUCAGACAAGAGACAGAUUGAGACUGAAAGCUUUUUAAAGCGAAGAUGUGUUGGUUUUCACUCAAGGUUAUCCUCAGAACCUCAUUCCAGGAUAUGGCUACUUGAAGGCUCUGACUUAAAGGAGAGUAAAAUAUUAAAAUAUCUUUGAGGAACCUCCUGAUGGUUUAUCAAAGUCUCAUCAGCGCUUUCGCGUUCAAGUAGGACACAAAGUAGAUGAGAGAAAACAACUUUAAAUCACUGACCUGCGCUAACCUGCCUCAACGGGACAGUGUUUAUGAAACGCCUCGUUGCAGAUGCUUUUUUCGGGUUUUGAAUCGAACAAAACUAAAAGUGUUUAAAUGACAACAGAAUAUUGGAUGUUUACUCUCA